GGCUUUGUAGCUCAGCUGGUAGAGAGCUUGCCACAGAGAGGCAUGGUGUUUCUGUCGCUGGUUCGAAUCCAGCCGAAGCUC